rnacentral:lncRNA from 1 species
AGGUUACCCACAGUGUUGACCUACGAGUGUAAGGCAUGUGUAAGGGGAUCAAGGAAGGUUCGGUGAGAUGCUGAAAUGAGAUACAGAAUACAAUGAUCAUAUUCAGGUAAUUUAUGGGUUGAACUUUUCCGUGUUUAUG